AUUUGACCAGCCUGAAGUCCACUUUUUGGGUUACAACAUCUCUGCAUCGGGAUUUCAAAUGGAUCCUAAUAAACUAGAGGCUGUACUACACUGGCCAUUACCCUCUGGUUUAAAAGCCAUUCAAAGGUUUAUUGGUUUUGCCAACUAUUACAGAAGAUUCAUCAAGGGAUUUUCUUUUGUAAUAGCCCCUAUCACAAAUAUGACUCGCAAAGGGGUUAGUAGCAUGGUAUGGUCCAAAGAGGCUGUGAAUGCUUUUGACACUCUUAAACAAAGAUUUGCCUCUGCGGACAUACUAAAACAUCCCGACACUAGUAAACCUUUUAUAUUGGAGGUUGAUGCAUCUGAGACAGGGGUAGGGGCUGUUCUCUCUCAGAAAGAAAGCCAGGGAACACCAUUGCAUCCUUGUGGCUACUUCUCCAGAAAGAUGUCUCCUGCUGAGCGCAACUACGAUAUUGGCAGUAGAGAACUGUUGGCCAUUCUUGCCCUCAAGGAGUGGCGACAUCUUUUGGAGGGUUCCAAGGACCCCCUGUUGAUCAUAACCGACCACAAAAAUCUGGCAUAUAUAGGGGAUGCCAAACGUUUGUCUUCCAGACAGGCUAGAUGGUCACUGUUCCUUUCACGUUUUAACUUUCUCAUUACUUAUAGACCUGGUUCUAAAAAUACCAAGGCUGAUGCCUUGUCCAGGCAAUUUGAUAAUGAGUCAGCUCUGGAACAGGUGACAUCUCCUAUUAUGCCACCAGAGUGUAUUAUUGCUACUACUGUCCUCUCACUGUCUUCUCCACUGCUUGGCACCAUACUGGAGGCCCAGCCUCAGGCGCCCAGUGGUAAACCGCGUGAUAAACUGUUCGUUCCCCUAUGUGAAAGGGUUAAUAUCAUGAAAGUGUUCUAUGACAAUAUAACUGCUUUAUUGUUGAGCUUCCUAGCUCUGCUGGGUUCACUCCUAUUCUCAUGGUUGUAGACCGAUUUUCUAAGAUGGCUCACUUCAUUCCUCUCAAGAAGUUGCCAUCUUCGCAAGAUUUGGUCCUAAUUUUCAUACGUGAAAUUGUCCGUUUGCAUGGCAUCCCCCACAAUAUUGUGUCUGAUAGGGGCUCUCAGUUUGUGUCCAGGUUCUGGAGGGCGUUCAGUUAACAAUUGGGGAUUGAUCUCUCCUUCUCCUCCUCCUACCAUCCACAGACCAAUGGUACAGCUGAGAGGGCUAACCAGUCAUUAGAAGUUUAUUUGCG